UACGUAUGGUGCAAGCGUUAUCCGGAUUUACUGGGUGUAAAGGGAGCGCAGGCGGUGCGGCAAGUCUGAUGUGAAAGCCCGGGGCUCAACCCCGGUACUGCAUUGGAAACUGUCGUACUAGAGUGUCGGAGGGGUAAGCGGAAUUCCUAGUGUAGCGGUGAAAUGCGUAGAUAUUAGGAGGAACACCAGUGGCGAAGGCGGCUUGCUGGACGAUAACUGACGCUGAGGCUCGAAAGCGUGGGGAGCAAACAGG
rnacentral:rRNA from 1 species